rnacentral:rRNA from 1 species
GAUGAACGCUGGCGGCGUGCCUAACACAUGCAAGUCGAGCGAACCCUUCGGGGCGAGCGGCGGACGGGUGAGUAACGCGUGGGUAACCUGCCCUGUACACACGGAUAACAUACCGAAAGGUAUGCUAAUACGAGAUAAUAUAUUUUAAUCGCAUGGUUAAGAUAUCAAAGCUCCGGCGGUACAGGAUGGACCCGCGUCUGAUUAGCUAGUUGGUGAGGUAAUGGCUCACCAAGGCGACGAUCAGUAGCCGACCUGAGAGGGUGAUCGGCCACACUGGAACUGAGACACGGUCCAGACUCCUACGGGAGGCAGCAGUGGGAAUAUUGCACAAUGGGCGAAAGCCUGAUGCAGCAACGCCGCGUGAGUGAUGAAGGCCUUCGGGUCGUAAGCUCUGUCCUCAAGGAAGAUAAUGACGGUACUUGAGGAGGAAGCCCCGGCUAACUACGUGCCAGCCGCCGCGGUAA